GAUGAACGCUGACAGAAUGCUUAACACAUGCAAGUCUACUUGAACUUCGGUUUGGGUGGCGGACGGGUGAGUAACGCGUAAAGAACUUGCCUCACAGAUAGGGACAACAUUUGGAAACGAAUGCUAAUACCUGAUAUUAUGAUUUUAGGGCAUCCUAGAAUUAUGAAAGCUAUAUGCACUGUGAGAGAGCUUUGCGUCCCAUUAGCUAGUUGGAGAGGUAACGGCUCACCAAGGCGAUGAUGGGUAGCCGGCCUGAGAGGGUGAUCGGCCACAAGGGGACUGGGACACGGCCCUUACUCCUACGGGAGGCAGCAGUGGGGAAUAUUGGACAAUGGACCAAGAGUCUGAUCCAGCAAUUCUGUGUGCACGAUGAAGUUUUUCGGAAUGUAAAGUGCUUUCAGUUGGGAAGAAAAAAAUGACGGUACCAACAGAAGAAGUGACGGCUAAAUACGUG
rnacentral:rRNA from 1 species